rnacentral:pre_miRNA from 14 species
GCUGUGUCCAGCUGUUGUCAAGAGUAAUGUCAAAGUGCUUACAGUGCAGGUAGUGAUUUAACAGAACCUACUGCAGUGAAGGCACUUGUAGCAUUAUAUUGACAGUGUUUUCUAGAGGCAAA